rnacentral:rRNA from 1 species
GACGAACGCUGGCGGCGUGCCUAAUACAUGCAAGUUGAGCGAUGAAGCUUGGUGCUUGCACCAAUUUGAAGAGCAGCGAACGGGUGAGUAACGCGUGGGGAAUCUGCCUUUGAGCGGGGGACAACAUUUGGAAACGAAUGCUAAUACCGCAUAACAACUUUAAACAUAAGUUUUAAGUUUGAAAGAUGCAAUUGCAUCACUCAAAGAUGAUCCCGCGUUGUAUUAGCUAGUUGGUGAGGUAAAGGCUCACCAAGGCGAUGAUACAUAGCCGACCUGAGAGGGUGAUCGGCCACAUUGGGACUGAGACACGGCCCAAACUCCUACGGGAGGCAGCAGUAGGGAAUCUUCGGCAAUGGACGAAAGUCUGACCGAGCAAUGCCGCGUGAGUGAAGAAGGUUUUCGGAUCGUAAAACUCUGUUGGUAGAGAAGAACGUUGGUGAGAGUGGAAAGCUCAUCAAGUGACGGUAACUACCCAGAAAGGGACGGCUAACUACGUG